rnacentral:rRNA from 1 species
UACGAAGGGGGGCGAGCGUUGUUCGGAUUUACUGGGCGUAAAGGGCGCGCAGGCGGUCAUUUUUGUCGAGUGUGAAAGCCCCGGGCUUAACCUGGGAACUGCGCUCGAAACGGGAUGACUAGAGAUCGGGAGAGGAGAGUGGAAUUCCCAGUGUAGAGGUGAAAUUCGUAGAUAUUGGGAAGAACACCAGUGGCGAAGGCGGCUAUCUGGACGGUUUCUGACGCUAAGACGCGAAAGCGUGGGGAGCAAACAGG